rnacentral:rRNA from 1 species
CCUACGGGUGGCAGCAGUAGGGGAUAUUGCUCAAUGGGGGAAACCCUGAAGCAGCAACGCCGCGUGGAUGAUGGAGGUUUUCGGAUUGUAAACUCCUUUUGUUAGAGAAGAUAAUGGCGGUUUCUAACUUAUAAGCACCCGCUACCUCCGUGCCAACAGCCGCGGUAAUACGGAGGGUGCAAGCGUUACUCGGAAUCACUGGGCGUAAAGAGCGCGGAGGCGGGAUAGCAAGUCAGAGGUGAAAUCCUAGGGCUUAACCAUAGAACUGCAUUUGAAACUGUGAUUCUAGAGUAUGGGAGAGGCAGGUGGAAUUCUUGGUGUAGGGGUAAAAUCCGUAGAGAUCAAGAGGAAUACUCAUUGCGAAGGCGACCUGCUAGAACAUAACUGACGCUGAUGCGCGAAAGCGUGGGGAGCAAACAGGAUUAGAUACCCCAGUAGUC